UUGAAAGUGUAUUUUCCAGUUCUACAUUUGUGUUAAAUUCUUCGUCCGUGUAAUACUCGGAGUUUUUUUUUUACUCUGUUGAUAGGAAAAGCCUCAGACACCAGUACCUAAUUUAGCAUGUCGUGGAAGACUUCUCUUUCAGUUUGAAACUAUCGAGAGUAGACGUCGUUGGGUAACGUAAAGAUGGCUAUUGAGGGAAACUUCGGCUCGACUCGGGUAUCAUCGUUACACACGAGUCGGUAAUCCGGAAGUGUAGUCAAGUGAGAAUGCGUUGCCGUCAUCAUAAGGUAGCUCGUGGCACAAGCACCCGGAGCGUGUGAAACUAAAACCACGAGUCUACCUCACUGUAAAGUAACAUUGUGGAUGCGCGCCAGGCCACUAACACUAACGCUCAUGACUUGAGAACUAAAUAUUCCCCAUUAAUAUUCAGCAGUCGGUCUGCGGGGCAAGAGGUGGAUGCACAGACAAGAGACCGUGUCGGAUCCGCUGUGUGCCAGCAUCGAGAUGAGCUGCGAACGUGAUAGCGAAACGGAAAACAGGGUGGCUAACGUCAGCUAGCUACAAACGAGCCGGACCGGACUCGUGUGUGAACCCGUUCACCCCCCUCCAGCAUGAGAGGCACACCGUUUUGGUUGGGAGCGGCGCGUACGAGGAUGAUGGCUAAAGGAUAAUGUACAAGGAAUCGCCUUCCCUCUACCCAAAGUGACCCAAAU